GGUGUUGGGCACUUUGUACUCGGGUUAACACUUAUAGGGGGCAUAUUUAUUACCGAUGGCUCUCUCAGACACAUAUUUUACAAACUGCAGUUUUACAACUACUAUUUCUAUGAUAUACUGUCGGGUCUUGCCGCAGCUUCUGUUGUUAUUGGAUUAUUAACGUCGUCAGUGGCUGUUCUUGGCUUAGUAGGAUCUUGGAAGAAAUCACCAAGGAUACUUGGCACGAGUUCUGUUCUCUCUCUGGUUUUGCAUAUACCAAGAUGCAUUGCUGUUAUACUAUGGAUAGUUUUCAUUGAAAAGAUCAAUGGUGAUAUGAGAUUUCAGUUACGGUUACAGCAAUCAGGUUAUUUUUAUGGAGGCAUCGGAAAUGAAAUAACAGGAAAAUGGAACGACAUGAUCAUGAAACUGCAUUGCUGUGGUGUCGAUUAUGCCAAUGAUACACGAAGCAUACAGGGAAAACAAUUCUGUUGUAGAAAUGCUCACUCCAGCAUAAUGAACUCUAAUGAUC